GAUGAAUAACGCAGCGAAAUGCGAUAAGUAAUGUGAAUUGCAGAAUUCAGUGAAUCAUCGAAUCUUUGAACGCACAUUGCGCCCGCCAGUAUUCUGGCGGGCAUGCCUGUCCGAGCGUCAUUUCAACCCUCGAACCCCUCCGGGGGGUCGGCGUUGGGGAUCGGGAACCCCUAAGACGGGAUCCCGGCCCCGAAAUACAGUGGCGGUCUCGCCGCAGCCUCUCCUGCGCAGUAGUUUGCACAACUCGCACCGGGAGCGCGGCGCGUCCACGUCCGUAAAACACCCAACUUCUGAAAUGUUGACCUCGGAUCAGGUAGGAAUACCCGCUGAACUUAAGCAUAUCAAUAAGCGGAGGA
rnacentral:misc_RNA from 1 species